AGGAAUGGAAAAGUGAAUGGUGCAGAAAGCUGUGACGCUUUUUUUUUUCUUUUCUAUUAUUCUUUUUCUGACCUAGGAAGAAGGAGCGAGGAGAAAGGACCAACUCCCAGGUGAGCCCAGGCACAGCCAGGUGUGGAGCAGAGCCACCAACGUCCUUUUGGAAGACAGCCAGCAGUCCCUGCUGCAGGACAUGGGGGCCCUUUUCUUCCUCACCCCUUUAAAGAAGCUCUGUACAAAAAAAAAAUUCUAGGAGCCACGUCCACUGGUAGAGGCAUCCACUUUUGGCCAUCUUUGGAGAGAAGAUACCAGCGCUGAUGAACCUUCUGCCUGACAGACAGAGCUGCUCUUGCAGGACCACUGUGUGCAGAAGCAUUUGCUGUUAGGGCAAGAGGCAGAUGUAUUUCCACUUCUUUCCGAGGCCGUGCUGGUGACUGUGGACACAGAGAGUUCUGUGACAUGCAUUGGAUAGCUUGGAGGUGGAUGUGACGGCAGUUUAAUAUUAAGGCGCCUGAUAUGACAGCCGUGGCAGAGCAAGUGGCCCUCUAACGGGUAACAACGAUGGCCUUCCUCAUCAUUGAGCUGCAAGCCACAAUCCUAGAAGAAACACAUACAUCCCAGCUCUCCAGUGAGUGGCAUCAGAAUCCAUGUGGUUUGCCAGCCUGCUCCUAGCCAGAAACAACUCGUCUCUGAGCCUUGGCUGGACACGGCACCACGACUGCGCAGCAACGCCAGCUGCAGCUGUGCUCCCCGAGAGGCGCACCAAGAACAGCCAGACAAGACGGAUUCAUUCCUGGAGCUCCCAGAGCCGAUCCCUUCUGUCAGAGCACACUUGCUGAUGGGACAACGGCGGAGAAGCACCUGCCAAGCUUCCAGCUACUGAGCUCCACCAACAAGAUACUAUAGACUCUUGCCUGGGAUUCUGCAAUUAAGGGCCAGCUCAAAGCAUCCACGUGGGACACCCCUCCCCCUCACAGCAUGACACAACUCUAGAAAUUUGCUCUUGGGCUAAAAUGAACAAUAUCCUUGUCCAACCAGUGGUGCCAGGAUAGGAGCCAGAAUCCUCAUUAGUGACGUCUCCGUUCCAGCUCCUACUGAACCUCUGUGUUUGCAAUGCAGUAGCUACUUCUAAUAGGCAUACUGAGGUUCAUCCACGUUUUAAAGUAAGAGGAGAAUAGAUAUAGUAUGUGAUCUGAACUUCUUCAAUGCACAAGCCACUUCAUUUUCUUUGGGAAUUUCUGCUUAGGAAGACCAGACUAAACUCUUCCUACUUCCACCCACUGAAAUGACGGCAGGAGUACCUGGCUCAGCCCAUAGCCCUUUAUUUUUUUUUAUUAUAAAAGUAACUCUGCCUGCUGUCUCCCUACAAAUCCCAGUGGCAAUAAUGCAUUGGAACUGACAUGGAACAAGCGGCAGAAGGUAAAUAAGCAAGUUACAGUGGGCAACAAACCGCAGGAUAAUCUCCCUCUCCGCUCUAGUCCAGAUUCCAUCCCCUUGACAGAGCUCUUGCUAUUCUACUGUCUUAUAGAGCACAGCCUCUGUUUUCCUUUACUGUGCUCUCAUACACAGCUGUGCUGCAUCUUCCCCCUUUAGUAGUAAAAAUCUAAUUUUUUAAUUUUUUUUUUUAAAACUGGCAUGUGGCAGCCAGUGGGCUGCCUCCUGCGAUCUCAGGUAGAAAAGCAGCCCAAUUUACUGCACUUAAUAGAGCACAGUGGUAUUUUUGUUUGGUUACUGCCUUUAGGUUCAAAAAUUACCUUGACAGUAGUGAAGACACAAUGACAGUCUGAUGGGGAAAAAGCCUGGUGUCUCACAGUGCGCUACCCAAAGCAGGUGAAACACAAGCCAUGCCACGGUUAGGAGUGUAGGUCUCUUACCAUUUCCAUUAUGAGGUGUCCACAAACAAAGCACUUGUCUGCUGUUUGCUGAAAACCUGAAUACUGUUCAAAUGACAAGAAAAGAAAGGAUUAUUAGUAGCCACUCCUCUAGCUGCAGAAAUACCUUCUAAGUGAACACUGCACUAUUUUCCAGCCUGCGCUGUGUGUAUGAUGGCAAACUGGCCAAUAGGUUUGGGAGACAGUGCCUCGGAAACCUUCGCUCUGCUCGUGCAGCAUGCUGAGACCCUGCUUGGCCUGAGCCACCGCAAGAUUUCCAUCGAGAUUUCCAAUGUAACGGUAUUAUUUUAAGGUUGAUUUUUAAUUUUUUAAGCCUACUUGGCAAGUGUGACUUCAGCAUGCUGGAAUUAGCUUCAAUUCACUCUUUUGGUUGUUGUUGGGGAAGUAAAUAACAUCAGACUUACGUCCCAAUUCCCACUCAAAUUAGUGACCAGGUGCACACUGACCUCAGUUUUUGGACCUGCACUUCACCCAGUGCUGUAUGCAGGCUAGGGAAGUGAAGACAGGCCAAAGUCUGUCUUUAGCCCUGUGUUUAGAAGUAUACAAAAAAUAUCAAGGUCAUCAGGCCAGACAACUGACCUACCAAACAGCUUCCCUACAGGCAAGAACGCCAGCCAUGCGAUUUUGAAACUGGUGUUUGCAGUGGCUGGACUUUACUCUCGCCCACUGCAGCCCCACAGAAGCCAAGUGCUGCCUGUGCUCUCCACCCGGCCAGGGACAAGGGUGCCCAUCGGCGGCACGGUACUGCACAGGGAUGCUCAUUUCAGCAGUUCAGGUUGUAGCAAAGCUCACCUGAAAUGUAUUUUAGUUGCACAUGACAGAAGGGAAUGGGGAGGAUGAGUGUAAAGUGGACUCCUCUCCCAGAGCACAGGUUAACUGGCUCCGGCAUCUAAUGCAUCCUCAGAGCCUCAGCCCAACAGAGCUCACGGCUUCCUCUCUCCCCACCUUGAUUUAGUGGGGAUUAACUGGCCCCUCAUUUCAAAAGCCAGUGGUGCCCAGCCUAGAGCUGCCAUAUAUUUUCCUUUUUAUGGGUAUGAGGGGAUUACAUGUUAUUUCAGAUCAAUAGGUGGGAGACAAAAUUAUUGUUGCUAUGCAACAAAGUGAUCAUGAAGGAAAAGACAGACACCUUGAUGGGCCCAGAAAGUCAGUACAUGAUGCUAUGGCAGUGGUCACAGCUCCAAAUUCACCCCCCACUAAGGAACACAGCUCAUGCAAUCUUAAGAAACUUUGAAACUUCCUCAAAAGAGACCAGGGUGCUGAGGACCAGAUCCAGAGGCGGGCAAUCCUAGCUGGCUAUUUCUGCCAGAUACUGGUUUUUUGAUUUUUCCUUCUUACUGACGCAGAAAAAGGUCUCACUGCUUGGGAUGCUUCUUGGCUGCGCUGCAUCUGAGUAACCAUCUGGCCAGACUAUUUCCUGAGGUUGCGAACUCGAGAGUUACUGGAAACAGUAUCUAUCCCAGAGACCUGGGAAACUGGAGACCUGAUUCAGUGAGAUCAGGGUUUUGGAGUCAGCUCUGCUUCUGUUUUACAUCGAUUUACAACUGUAAAGGAGUCACAGCCUGGGAUCUCAGCAGCACAUUUUCUACAUGACGGCAGUACUGUGGACGCUGCUGUUUAAAGGUAAACAAUGAAUGAUUUUCUCUACAUUUUUGUAGCUCACCUGCCAUCUUCUGCUUUGCAGUGUUUGUUCCUAACUUGGAGAGUUCAAACAGGGCUGUUGUGAUAAGUUUUCAAGUUUAGAAGCCGAGCUUACAAACCAACUCUUAAAAUACUAAUUAAAAUUGGCAACCUCUCUCUUUGAAGCACCUGAUUAUUAUUAACCUUCACAAAUCUUGUGUGUGCGCAACGUGAGAGAAGUCGUGAUUUGCUCCCGACGGCAGACAAUGCAGAAUGGCCUCUUCGUUAUCUCUCAGCACAGGCAAGCGCCUCCCCGAGGGUGGGCGCCCAGCGUGGCUGGGGGGAAGAAGCACUGGCCCCCAGAGCCUGCAAAGUACUUAACUGCAAGAGGAGAGGCGGUUCUGCUCUACAGACUUGUACCCUCUUUUAUUACUGACAUAGUUGGAGGGGGAAAAAGGAGGCUUUGCGCGCACCAGCUCUCCCUCUCUAUCUGGAGACAUGAGAAACAGCUUGAGGUGACCAGUGAAGCAGUAGAGGCUGAGAGGCAAGACCCCACUGGAGAAGCCAAAUCCCAGCUAGGCUUCCUGUACGCAUGGGAUUUUAUACAUACAGUGUCACUCGGGAUGGAAGCGGUACCGGGCUCAGCUCUAGCCUUACUCUAUAAGGGUUUCAUAUGUGCCAGUUUGUCUUUUUUAAAAAUAUUUUGCUGGCACAGCAGUCAGAUGAUGUAAAUACAGGCCAAUCUCAAACCAGACAGAAAAAAUCAGAAGUCUACAGACAGUCUGUACCCAGGACAAAUAAGAAGUGUAAUUUUGAACUUUCCCAAAUAUUCAUUAUAGAUGCUUAUUAAGCAUAUAUAAAAACAUUGAAAGAAGUUGUUCUGAAAAGAACAGCUCUGAAAUUCAAAGCUGAAAAUGAAGUGUUACCCUUCACUUUCACUUCUGAGACCCAGAAGUAAGAUGCUAGUUACCAGGAUGCAAAGAGAACAAGUGCGUGUUGAAAAGCUGGUAUAUUAUUUUUCCUGAUUUCUUAGUUUGGUCCCAACUGUUUUCUCCCAUGUUUACCUUGUCCUUGACUUCUCUCCCAGGAUAAUAAAAUCUCAGUUUAUGUGCAUGAAUCAAGAUUUUGUAAUCAAGCUCCGCAAUGAUACUUAUAUAUAAUAAGACUCUGGGAAACUAAAUAAACCUUGAGAAAUAUGUUAAUUAUGUUAGAACAGAAGAGUAAAAAUAAAGUAGAAGA